UACGUAGGGGGCAAGCGUUGUCCGGAUUUAUUGGGCGUAAAGAGCGUGUAGGCGGCCAUACAGGUCAGCUGUGAAAACUCGAGGCUCAACCUCGAGACGCCGGUGGAAACCGUAAAGCUAGAGUCCGGAAGAGGAGUGUGGAAUUCCCGGUGUAGCGGUGAAAUGCGCAGAUAUCGGGAAGAACACCCGUGGCGAAGGCGGCACUCUGGGACGGUACUGACGCUGAGACGCGAAAGCGUGGGGAGCGAACAGG
rnacentral:rRNA from 1 species